rnacentral:tRNA from 1 species
GCCGGCGUGGUGGAAUGGCAGACACGGCAGACUCAAAAUCUGCUAUCCGCGAGGAUGUGUGAGUUCAAGUCUCACCGCCGGCA